GACGAACGCUGGCGGCGUGCUUAACACAUGCAAGUCGUACGGUAAGGCCCUUUCGGGGGUCCACGAGUGGCGAACGGGUGAGUAACACGUGAGUAACCUGCCCACAACUUUGGGAUAACGCUAGGAAACUGGUGCUAAUACUGGAUAUGUGCCCCUGCUGCAUGGUGGGGGUUGGAAAGCUCCGGCGGUUGUGGAUGGACUCGCGGCCUAUCAGCUUGUUGGUGGGGUAGUGGCCUACCAAGGCGGCGACGGGUAGCCGGCCUGAGAGGGUGACCGGCCACAUUGGGACUGAGAUACGGCCCAGACUCCUACGGGAGGCAGCAGUGGGGAAUAUUGCACAAUGGGCGCAAGCCUGAUGCAGCAACGCCGCGUGCGGGAUGACGGCCUUCGGGUUGUAAACCGCUUUCAGCAGGGACGAAGCUUUUUGUGACGGUACCGGCAGAAGAAGCACCGGCUAACUACGU
rnacentral:rRNA from 1 species